rnacentral:misc_RNA from 1 species
UUUCCGUAGGUGAACCUGCGGAAGGAUCAUUAACAAAUUUUAUGUAUUAACAGUGGGCACAGUGUGUGUGUGUGGUGUGUGUGUGUGAAAGCACGCAUAGCCCACCGCACAGAUAACGAGCAAGUAGUAGGCGUGAAUAUACGUAAUAGUGAAUAAAACUUUUAACAAUGGAUCUCUUGGCUCUC